rnacentral:ncRNA from 1 species
AUUUUAACGAUGAAAAGUCCGAAGUAGUUGUUGCACAUACUGUAUAGAGAGCUAGCGGUUGGUGAAAGCUAGUCAGUGUUCAAUGAUGAAUUACAGUCUUGGAGUUAGACGUAUUCACAACGAUAUCGUGAUUGAAGCGGAAGGAUUUUCCUUCAAGCUGGGUGGUACCGCGCUAUUAUAAAUAAGCGUCCCUGCA